GGGCGGUUAGCUCAGUUGGCUAGAGCGUACGCUUGACGUGCGUAAGGUCAGAGGUUCGAGUCCUCUACCGCCCACCA
rnacentral:tRNA from 1 species